UACGUAGGGGGCAAGCGUUGUCCGGAUUCAUUGGGCGUAAAGAGCGUGUAGGCGGCCAGGUAGGUCGGUUGUGAAAACUGGAGGCUCAACCUUCAGAGGUCGACCGAAACCAUCUGGCUAGAGUCCGGAAGAGGAGAGUGGAAUUCCUGGUGUAGCGGUGAAAUGCGCAGAUAUCAGGAAGAACACCAAUGGCGAAGGCGGUUCUCUGGGAAUGUCCUGACGCUGAGGAGCGAAAGUGUGGGGAGCGAACAGG
rnacentral:rRNA from 1 species